rnacentral:lncRNA from 1 species
AAUAAAAUUGAGAAUGGAAAUGGGGAAUGUGCCAAAGAGACAACAACCCGACCAUAGAAAAAAACAACAGCAGAAGGUCACCAACAGGUCUUCAAUGUAGCGAGAAAUUCACGCACCCGGAGGCGUCCUUCAACUGGCCCCUAAACAAAUAUAUACUAGUUCAGUGAUAAUGAACGCCAUACUUAUUUCCAAAUUGUACACAAGAAACUAAAAUUAAAAUAAUACAAGACUAACAAAGGCCAGAGGCUCCUGACUUGGGACAGGCGCAAAAAUGCGGCGGGGUUAAACAUGUUUGUGAGAUCUCAACCCUCCCCCUAUACCUCUAGCCAAUGUAGACAAGUAAACGCAUAACAAUACGCACAUUAAAAUUCAGUUCAAGAGAAGUCCG